AUGUCUCUUCAAUAUAGAAUGCUUUUUUAGGAAGGAGAGCUGUGUAGCUAGAGUGCUUUUUCCCCAGCUUGAAUCUUUUCAGAAUCGGAUGGCUUUACACUCAAUAAAAAGCAAAGCUGGUGUGAAGAAAGUGACAAGAUGGCAGUGAAUUUUGUGUCAAUGGCAUGUGGAAUUUCCUUUGGUCAGUUCAUAUCAUCAUGUUGUAUAGACAGCAGCUCUCCAGACAGCACAGCAGCUCUGCUUCAUGGCUUCAG